rnacentral:rRNA from 1 species
CCUACGGGAGGCAGCAGUGGGGAAUAUUGCGCAAUGGGCGAAAGCCUGACGCAGCGACGCCGCGUGAGGGAUGAAGGUCUUCGGAUCGUAAACCUCUGUCAGCAGGGAAGAACGGUCACUGUGCUAAUCAGCAGUGAAUUGACGGUACCUGCAAAGGAAGCACCGGCUAACUCCGUGCCAGCAGCCGCGGUAAUACGGAGGGUGCGAGCGUUAAUCGGAAUUACUGGGCGUAAAGCGCUCGUAGGCGGUAUGUCAAGUCAAGGGUGAAAUCCCCGCGCUCAACGUGGGAACUGCCUUUGAAACUGGCAAACUGGAGCGUGUGAGAGGAUAAUGGAAUUCCAGGUGUAGGAGUGAAAUCCGUAGAUAUCUGGAGGAACAUCAGUGGCGAAGGCGACUAUCUGGAACAUAACUGACGCUGAGGAGCGAAAGCGUGGGUAGCAAACAGGAUUAGAUACCCCAGUAGUC